rnacentral:rRNA from 1 species
UACGUAGGGGCAAGCGUUGUCCGGAUUUACUGGGCGUAAAGAGCGUGUAGGCGGCCAAACAGGUCCGUUGUGAAAACUGGAGGCUCAACUUCCAGACGUCGACGGAAACCGUGUGGCUAGAGUCCGGAAGAGGAGAGUGGAAUUCCUGGUGUAGCGGUGAAAUGCGCAGAUAUCAGGAAGAACACCAAUGGCGAAGGCAGCCUUCUGGGCCAACACUGACGCUCAUGCACGAAAGCGUGGGGAGCAAACAGG